rnacentral:pre_miRNA from 1 species
UACUGCAUUAGGAACUGAUUGGGUUGUAGCACUCACCAUCAGUUUCUUGUGCAUUGCC